UUGCGUAUCUAUUUACAUGUUUAGUCUAUGAAUAUGAAGUGCACAAGUAUUCGCUGCUAGAAAUUCUUAUUUCUGUGUAGAUCCGCUUUCUACACAUACCUUGCAUAAUUUUUCCCAGAAACCACUUCAAGUACGCGUAAUUAUCAUGUAAGACAGCUGUUACAUAGACUACAAAUAACUGUUUACUUUUGAACAUACAUACAUACGGACUUAUAAAAUAUCUGGUGCUGUGAAGAAGAGGAACAUCUACCAGUUUACAAACAUGUUUGACAGAAAGGGCACAAAAGUGGUAGUAAUUGGACUUCUGAUUCUGUUCGUGAUCCUAACUGAAUUCACGCAAAUAGGCGGGCAACAAUUAUGUACUCCAAGGGGAUCUGGCUGUAGGGUGAGAAGAAAUCGUUAUGGAAGAAGUUUGUGCAGAAUAAGAGGAGAGGAGCGUGGAAUCGAAAAAAGAUGUUUUCGGGUAGGCCGCGAAUGCAGAUGUGACAUUGUUGGCAAUAAACCAGGCGCCACAUACAGCCCACAUGAAUGAAACAACAACGGAUAAUAAGAUCAUCAUUAUAUGAAUGAUAUGUAUGCUUAUGACAUUUUGAUUAUGUGGAAUUAACAUUUGUUCAUAUACAGUGAAGUUAGCAACUUUACAUUUGUCAACUGUAAUUACAUGUAGCUAACUUUAAAACACUUUAUUUUAUAGGAUUAUUAUAAAAGAGAUAUAUAUCUUGUUCCGUGUGAAGCUUAAUACUGUAUAGUAGCUAUAAUGGUUGGAUGCAUAAGUUAUGCUUUAUUUAAAGAAUUACAAGUCUCGAUUUAAUUGAAAUUAUUCAUUUUUUAUCAUUUUCAAGUCAAGCUGAAUGACUUUAAUGUUUCAAAAGAUUGGCUGUUAUAAUGGCGACAGACCAACAGUUGAUAUUUGAAAUUACUUUGGAUAAAAUAUAAAUCUGCCUAAAUCAUAGAAAUACUGGCCCACUCUUUAAAAUGAAUGUUACAGGUUAAUUGCGGUGGAUAUUUACAGGAAUUCCUUUUGGCCAUGUGUGUAUCUAUCGUUUAAUUAAUGCUAAUUAAAUGAUAAAACAAAGACGAAUUAUGGCAAAAUGUACACUUAUUUUAAAUUUAACCUGUUCACUCUUUAAACAUCUUGGAUAGGCAUCAUGUCACUUUAAUGUGUUAGUGUCUUCAUUUACUUCUAGACCUGACACUAUUAAAUGUUAUAUCACUUUUAAAGCAUAAAAGUGAACUCAUCUUUCUUAAUAAAAUGAAAUAAAAUAUGUUAUACAUUGUAUUCUACUUAUUCUAACAGGAUGUGAAGUACUUUAGUACAAGGACAAAAUACUCGGGCCAUUUAACUUUAGAUAUCAUAAUAUAACAAGAAGAAAAUAUGCAUCAUGUUUCUGUGUAAUCUCACUUAGCACAAAUAUGUGACAUUAUACUUGUCUUGAACUUAAUUAAGUAGGUCUACUUAAAUGAAACAAAAAUAAGGUUCUCAUUUUUACACAAACUUGUCUAAGCCUUUGAACUUAUAAAAUAUUUACGAUUUCAUCAUACGUUAUUUUUGUAAACAUUGUUUUUUUAAUAUAGUUACCAACGUCCCCCGCCUCGGGAAAUUUUAUAUGAAGCAUAAAAUUGAGGUAUUUCAAAAGAUUGAGGUAUGGAUCUCAGGACAUUCAGUCUAAAAUUACGAUCAAUGCUAGAUCUGCAUAUGCAACAAUAAAUUUAUUAAAGAAAUAAAAUAAAACACGAAAUUAAAAAAUCUAUCAUGUUAAGCUUUGACCUCUAAGUGUAGCCUUGACCUUGGAGGUAGGGGUGCAGGUGUUGUGCAUGACAUAACGACUUAUUAUUGUGACUAUUUGUGCCAAGUAUUUUCAAAAUACCUUGAACUAUGAAGAAGUUAUAGAUCCGACACAAAAUAUACCCUAUAACAGACUAUGUAAAUCUUUAACCUCUAAGUAUGACAUUCAAUUAAAUCGAGAACAGCAUGGAUCCUGAUCAGACUGCGCGGAUGCGCAGGCUGGUCUGGAUCCAUGCUGGUCGCAAACGCAUUAUGUUGGUUUUGUCAUAGCGCGGCUCAAACUCAUCCGAUAUCUACGUCCGUCUCCUAGUUAAUAAUCACGUGUAUCAUCAGUUGUAAACAACAAGAGUAGCAGAAGCGUUAGCAGUUACAUAGAUAACAACAAAAUGAUAAGGGGACGUCACAUUUCAAUUAUUCAUUAAGGAUGUUUUGAUAUUAUAGAAUAACAAAUUAAGAGCAAUUUAAGUUUUGAUAGAAUUUAAUCAAUUUCAAAAGAAUGUAAACAUUUUUGUAGGUUUCAUGUCUCGACAUACACAAAUGUUAAAUAAAAAGACGAUGUGAGAUUAUGCUCGAUUACUAAUAUUAUAUUACAAUAAUUAUGAGAGCAGCACUAGAUUCAAUAUCCCUGAAUUGUCGAGGAGUAGUUUUGUCUUGCCCUAGGAUUGAACCAGCGACCGUUGUACUACAAACACUAUUGUGCUAAGCGGACGGACACAUGUUUUAUUAAUUAAUUAUCGCAACCACUUAAUAUGGUUGAAUGUUGUUAAACCCUACUAACAUCAGACUGUCCAUUCAUACAAUAAUUAUUGCCCCUUCAAGACUGAGCAUCAAGUAAGGGAACUUUCUGAGAUAAUGUACUGUUUUUAUCAUAAAGGUAGUUAAUUUGACCUGAAGUAUCAAUUCACGCUAAGCAUUGAUGCACUUAGUGUAUUUUGGCUUUCCACAACGUAUCAAUUAUAUACUGAAGUCAAUUUGAACAUGUCCAUAGAAUAUUUUUUAAACAUAACAUUUAAAUUUUUAUUGCAAAGUCAUUUUCUACAUGUUACGAUAUCAAUUUGCUAUUUUAAUUUUUUUUAAAAAUGUCAAAUUUCAUUCCGAAGUUAAAAGUUGUAUACAAACAACUCUGAAUUAUAAAUUGCCAAAUUGUUCAUAUUUUCAAAACUUGUUUUUAAUACCUGUGUACCUGAAGUCAAGGAUUCACAUUAUAUAGUAAUUUACUACAUGUAUUUCUAUCAAAAACAAUAUACUGUUUGUUUCUAAAAUAUUUUCAUACGUUAUCAUUCAAUCACCAUAUGUUUAUUCACCUCCAGAUUUCCGUGUACUUUAUGCGGUAAAACAAUCUGCCGUGUAUUCAGAGUUUUUAGCUAUGUUUUAAUCUGUUCUUUUCUCAAGAAAAUAGGAUAUGAAGUGUUUUGCCAAAAGUAGAUUUAUAAGUAGAUACAUUUUUGACAUUCUUUUACUUCCCGAAGAAAUUACUACUUACAAUAUAAAAAUAAGGUUAUCCUUGUUAUAAACACUUUGCGUAGCCACUAUUCGGAGAUUUACUGACUUAAAAUAUAAAGCGGUAAAGGAAAACGAUUAUUCAAAGACAGUCUCUUCAAGCUGACGAGCAUGUUCGGUUAUCGUAAAAACGACGCUAAAACUAUCAUCAUUGGCCUUCUGAUUUCGCUCGUGAUUUUAAGUGAGAUCACAGAAACAGACACGCAACAGCUAUGUUCUCCAUGGCGAUCUGGCUGCAGGGCCAGAAGGAAUAGCCAAGGCAGAAGUUUGUGCGCAAUCAGUGGGGAGACAGAAGGAAUCAUUAAAAGAUGUUUCCGGAUUGGUCGAAGCUGCAGAUGCCAAUGGGAUUAUGGCAUAUUGCAUCAAAAAGCUAUUGAUGACUUUGUCGAGUUUAAUCUUUAAAUGCAAAUAUAGGAACACAGUUUUUUGUUUAAAUGCAACUGUAACUGUAAGCAUUCAAACUAUGAAAAAAAUAUAUAAUGUAACAAAAAUGUUCAUGUAUUCUUAUUUCAAAUGGUCUAUCUUCUAACCUUUGCAAAUAAAUUGAAUAUUAGUUCUA